CGUCGCCCAACUUGGGCCGAUGGCCAACACACUGCUGGCGGCCGCCAGUGCGCCGCCUAAUCGCUUCGUCCACAAUCUUCAGGAUGAUCAGUUGAGCCAGAAGGUGCUCAAGGAGAUGAUGGUGGUCUUGGCUGAACCGUGUCCCCAAGUUCGCUCUUCAGACAGUACG